rnacentral:rRNA from 1 species
GACGAACGCUGGCGGCGUGCUUAACACAUGCAAGUCGAACGGAAAGGCCCUGCUUUUGUGGGGUGCUCGAGUGGCGAACGGGUGAGUAACACGUGAGUAACCUGCCCUUGACUUUGGGAUAACUUCAGGAAACUGGGGCUAAUACCGGAUAGGAGCUCCUGCUGCAUGGUGGGGGUUGGAAAGUUUCGGCGGUUGGGGAUGGACUCGCGGCUUAUCAGCUUGUUGGUGGGGUAGUGGCUUACCAAGGCUUUGACGGGUAGCCGGCCUGAGAGGGUGACCGGCCACAUUGGGACUGAGAUACGGCCCAGACUCCUACGGGAGGCAGCAGUGGGGAAUAUUGCACAAUGGGCGGAAGCCUGAUGCAGCAACGCCGCGUGCGGGAUGACGGCCUUCGGGUUGUAAACCGCUUUCGCCUGUGACGAAGCGUGAGUGACGGUAAUGGGUAAAGAAGCACCGGCUAACUACGUGCCAGCAGCCGCGGUGAUACGUAGGGUGCGAGCGUUGUCCGGAUUUAUUGGGCGUAAAGGGCUCGUAGGUGGUUGAUCGCGUCGGAAGUGUAAUCUUGGGGCUUAACCCUGAGCGUGCUUUCGAUACGGGUUGACUUGAGGAAGGUAGGGGAGAAUGGAAUUCCUGGUGGAGCGGUGGAAUGCGCAGAUAUCAGGAGGAACACCAGUGGCGAAGGCGGUUCUCUGGGCCUUUCCUGACGCUGAGGAGCGAAAGCGUGGGGAGCGAACAGGCUUAGAUACCCUGGUAGUCCACGCUGUAAACGGUGGGUACUAGGUGUGGGGUCCAUUCCACGGGUUCCGUGCCGUAGCUAACGCUUUAAGUACCCCGCCUGGGGAGUACGGCCGCAAGGCUAAAACUCAAAGGAAUUGACGAGGCCCCGCACAAGCGGCGGAGCAUGCGGAUUAAUUCGAUGCAACGCGUAGAACCUUACCUGGGUUUGACAUGGAUCGGGAGCGCUCAGAGAUGGGUGUGCCUCUUUUGGGGUCGGUUCACAGGUGGUGCAUGGCUGUCGUCAGCUCGUGUCGUGAGAUGUUGGGUUAAGUCCCGCAACGAGCGCAACCCUUGUUCACUGUUGCCAGCACGUUAUGGUGGGGACUCAGUGGAGACCGCCGGGGUCAACUCGGAGGAAGGUGGGGAUGACGUCAAGUCAUCAUGCCCCUUAUGUCCAGGGCUUCACGCAUGCUACAAUGGCUGGUACAGAGAGUGGCGAGCCUGUGAGGGUGAGCGAAUCUCGGAAAGCCGGUCUCAGUUCGGAUUGGGGUCUGCAACUCGACCUCAUGAAGUCGGAGUCGCUAGUAAUCGCAGAUCAGCAACGCUGCGGUGAAUACGUUCCCGGGGCU